GGUGGGCGCCCUGCCUUUGUUCCGCGCGAGAGGCAGGGCGCCCUCGGUGAGCUGAGGGAGGCGAGCCGCGUCGCGGGGCAGGGAGCGCGAGGCUAGGCCGCAGCUGGGCAACGAGCCCUUUACUGCGGUGUCUCGGGGGGUUUCCAGCUUCCCCGGCCAUCUGCGGGUCAGCGAGAGACGGCUGGUAGCAUCUGGCAGACACAGGCGCAGGAGGUGAAGCCGCUAGCCAGCAGGAGGGGGGAUCGGGAUCAGGCAGGGCRGUGAUGUUUGGGGCGCCAGGUCAGAGCGCAGAAAUCUCGCUAAUUUUUAUGAUGCAAAUGAAUGCGGUUCAAAACCAGCAGCGGGAGACACUGUGAUGGGAGCCAUUGUCUGAGUGUGAGGAGGUCUGCUGGAGCUGCAUACGCCCGUCCCUCGGCUCCACGUCUUCCAUCAGCGUUACAGCAGAGAGGCACCCUGUACUACGCAGUCCACAGCAAAAAAGAGGAAGGGGCCAUCACUUACCAGUACAACAAGGUGAAUCCUGAAGGGAGAACAAAGCAGUGUGGAUAAAGAACACAUCAAGGUGGCAUAAUCUAUAUACUGGGAGCAUCACAGCUUCAUGUUGGACUACUCAGCAGCAUCCUCAGUAUUUACAGUGCCCAUGACACCACCCAUGACAAACUUCUGAAGGCUAUCUGCAGCAUACAGUUAUUAUUAAGACCUCAUGAAGGCAAGAAGUUUGUGCAGGUAUAACUCAUAAAUUGGUCUGAAGAAUCUUAAUUGUUGUUGAUGAACUAGAAAGAAUUCAAUAUGGAGCUGAAGAUGAGGUUGUGAAUUAGAAAAAAACCCUUUAUUUUCUUGUAAACUGAAAAAAAUCUGAUAUUUACAUCAGCAAGAGAAUGAAUUGGAACCCCACAGUCACAUAGUACUGACUAACUUUUCAACUGACUAUCUGUGCUGUAGUAGGAUAAUAAUGGUCUCUGAUCUUUGCAGGACAAGAGUUAGUGAUGUAGUGAUUCACUCCCUUCGUGAUGCUGGUGUUUCACUACUCCACCCAGAUAUUAAAAGGGGAUGGUGUGGCUCCUGUAGGAAAGGUGAUCCUUGUGAAUUGAAAAGUUCAGAAUUUAGAACACCAAAGAGCAAUUAAACCAUAGGAGAAGGUUUAAGGGCUCUAUUUUUUGUGAAUCUCUUUAUGACAGAAGAACUUUAGGAAGGGGGCAAAUAUGCCAUGCAGAGUCUUUUCUUCUGUUUUGAAUCCAUGGAACUGCUGGUAUAAAUACUGAGAUAAGAACUAGCAUGUUGAAUGAUCGUGACAGUACGCAUACCAGUAUGCAACUUGACAUAGCUUUCAAAGUUGCAAGGAUGACAGGUUUGGUGGGCUCUUGCUGGGGAUGAGGAUGUAGCAGGGAUGGCUUCAGGCUGCCAAGUAGUACAAUUCUACUUAGAUUGCUUCAUGUCAAGGAAUAAUAGUGAAUGAGUAAACUUAUUAGCCCACUAAACUGUACAGAGCAGCAAAACUAGCUGCCUCUUUUGCUCUGCUGAAAGUAAUUAAGAGAAACAAGUUUUAUAGUUUCAUAAAAACAAUUUCACUUUCUUACAGAAGAACAUACAAAUUGUCUGUUGCUUCCCCAACUAAUCAUCUUCUCAAAACAGAUUGUUGUAUUUCUUGCCUGCUAUUUUGUCUGAUUGUUAAUAAGUGGUUAGUUUACACAGAUGGGUAGGUUUACUGUCCUAGCUAGAAAAUUAAGUAACAGUGACUGCAAUAAUGUAACUGUGCAGUAACAAAAGAGUAUUGCAAGUAAUUCCGUGCAGACAAGAUUGACAUUAAGGAACAACUUAAUAUAAAAAACUUAGCCAUCCAUCUGGGUGUGUCAUUUCCUUUGAGUUGGCAGUUUUCCCCAUCUUGUAUUUUGAGAGAUAAAAUAUUUGUCUGACUCGCUUCAAAACUUGUACUAGUUUCUUCUGUCAACUGUGGGAGCUCAUCCCGUAUUUAAUUAAGUCAUUGCAUUUGUCUGGAGUUUCAAAAAUGAGCAAAAAUCUCAUUAAAGGAAUAGGGGCAAGUCCUUGAACUCCAUCACUGAUGGUGAGGAUAUAUGUUGGGUAGUGUAAGAAAAUAACCAAUACUGUCUGGAAUAAUAUCCUUAACUAUUUUAGACUGUUGGAGAGUUCAAGAAAACCCCUUGUAUAAUAGCCUUUCGUGCUGUGUUUUCAUUAAGUCUGAGGCAGCUCAAUAAAGGAACUACAGCGUGAUUUAUUUUAAUCA
ensembl:lncRNA